rnacentral:rRNA from 1 species
AAUUCCGUUGCUGUCGGAACGCUGGCGGCAGGCCUAACACAUGCAAGUCGAACGGAGUUAUAUUGUAGCUUGCUAUGGUAUAACUUAGUGGCAGACGGGUGAGUAAUGUAUAGGAAUCUACCUAGUAGUACGGAAUAAUUGUUGGAAACGACAACUAAUACCGUAUACGCCCUACGGGGGAAAAAUUUAUUGCUAUUAGAUGAGCCUAUAUUAGAUUAGCUAGUUGGUGGGGUAAUAGCCUACCAAGGUAAUGAUCUAUAGCUGAUCUGAGAGGAUGAUCAGCCACACUGGAACUGAGAUACGGUCCAGACUCCUACGGGAGGCAGCAGUGGGGAAUAUUGGACAAUGGGCGAAAGCCUGAUCCAGCCAUGCCGCAUGAGUGAAGAAGGCCUUUGGGUUGUAAAGCUCUUUUAGUGAGGAAGAUAAUGACGGUACUCACAGAAGAAGUCCUGGCUAACUCCGUGCCAGCAGCCGCGGUAAUACGGAGAGGGCUAGCGUUAUUCGGAAUUAUUGGGCGUAAAGGGCGCGUAGGCUGGUUAAUAAGUUAAAAGUGAAAUCCCGAGGCUUAACCUUGGAAUUGCUUUUAAAACUAUUAAUCUAGAGAUUGAAAGAGGAUAGAGGAAUUCCUGAUGUAGAGGUAAAAUUCGUAAAUAUUAGGAGGAACACCAGUGGCGAAGCGUCUAUCUGGUUCAAAUCUGACGCUGAAGCCGCGAAGGCGUGGGGAGCAAACAGGAUUAGAUACCCUGGUAGUCCACGCUGUAAACGAUGAUGUAAAUUAUGGGGAGUUACUUUCUGUAUACAGCUACGCGUAACAUUCGCUGGGACUACGUCGCAGAAUAAACUCAAGAUGACGGGAACCCGCCAAGCGGGGGAGCAGUGGGUUAAUUCGAUGCCAGCGGAAAACUG